rnacentral:misc_RNA from 1 species
CGGUUGCUGGAAGGUCCUGCUCUMURGAAGGAUAAAACUUUUUUGUCUUAAUGUAUAUUAAUUUGUAAAGGAAAGAAAGAGGAAUACCCAAUAUAUUGGUUUUUCCGACCAUUAUAUUGGGUAGGAAAGAAACCUACCGGGGGUCUCUAAAUGGUGAGGAAAGAGAAAUACUCAAUAUAUGGGUCUGUAAAAUCCAUGGGUAUUUCUCUUUUCUAGAAAACUGAAUGGUGAGGAAAGAGAAAUACUCAAUAUAUGGGUCUGUAAAAUCCAUGGGUAUUUCUCUUUUAUGGUAAGGAAAGAAAAGUGAUUUAUCUAACUAGAAAACUUAAGCAAUAUGGUGAGGAAAGAGAAAUACUCAAUAUAUGGGUCUGUAAAAUCCAUGGGUAUUUCUCUUUUUUUUUUGCUUUCUUUGAUCCCUAUUUUGUUUUCUUCUUCAUUACAGAUUUAUUAUCGUUAUCGUUUCUUGCAUCUCUCGCGAAAUUUCGGGUAGGCGCAAAUUCUCCCAAUUUGUGACCUAUCAUAGAAUCUGUUAUAUAAAUAGGUAAAUGUUCUUUUCCAUUAUGAAUACCGAUUGUAUGGCCAACCAUUCGGGGUAUAAUGGUAGAUGCCCGAGACCAAGUGACUAUUAUCUCUUUCUCCUCCCCCUUUUUGAUUUUUUGAAUUUUUUCUGAUAAAUGCUUAGCUACAAAUCUUUUUUUUGCUACAAAUCUUUUUUUUUGACGUAUCACAGCGGAUUACUCCUUUUUUGACAUGUUAAAGAUUGGCAUUCUAUGUCCAAUAUCUCGAUCUAAGUUAAGUAUGGAGGUCAGAAUAAAUACAAUAAUGAU